AGAAAAUCAAGUUUUGCUGCCCUAAAAUAUUUCUAUAAGAGAUUCAUUUUCCUCAUUCUAGGGAAAAGGUCUAGGACAAAAGAAGAGAGAAACAGCUGGGUUAAAAAUUCUACAAAAUACACUCCAUAACACAUAGAUUUUCUGGGUUUUUCUCUUUGAAAUCUCGGAUUAGACUUGGUUUCUGGGAAGCAAUUCUUGUUGUACUGUUUUUGUUGAUACUGCUCCACUCAACUUGGCUAGAUAGUUGACUUUCUAACCUUUAUUUGAUCUAUUAAUUGUUGUUUUCUGCUCAUAGUUAUUGAUUCGUUGAUUGCAAGCUUGAGCUAUAUAUGUUCUGUUAAACAAAUUUACGGAAAAGAUACUGCUGGAAAAUAAUGGAAGGAAUCUUGGUGAAGGGUGAUUAUGCAAAGGCUUUAUUAGUUGUUUCUUCACGAGAAGUUUCAAUAGUUUUAAUAGGAAUUCAUUGGUUAAUGUAAUAAUUUAAGUUUAUUUCUUUCUAUCUUAUUAAUGUAUGAGUAUUACUGUAUGAAAUGAGGGUUAUGAAAUUAGUCAGACAUCUCACAUGUUUACUUUACCUUGCUUCAAGUUGAGUAAAAACCUUUUCGCUGA